rnacentral:lncRNA from 1 species
GGGUUCUAAUGAUAAACUGUGAGGAACUGUGGCUUCUAUCAUGAAUGCUGGCAUCAACAGCCAUCCAGGGUGAUCUUACCAAUAUUGAUUGGUUGGUUGACAUCAUUUAGCUUUUACAAAGGGAUAUUUACUGAUAAGAUAGACAAGGACAAAUGUUACUAAAAUAUAUACCUCAUGCUAAGGAUGAACACUCCCAGUGUACACAAGUUCCCAGUGGAGAGUGGGCUCAAAUUCACAGAAGAAAGAGAGUGAGGGACCUUACCACUGCCACCAUGCUGGCUGAAAGCCCAAGAAAGAAGCCCAAGAGAACUGCCCACUCGCUAAUAUCCUCUGUCUAUAAGAAGUACAUAACAACAGGAAGUUAGUGGGCUCCCAGGAAAUGUAGUUCUUUUUAAGGGGCAUCAGACAUUUGUCAGAGAUAUUUGAUGCAAAGAGAUAUUUCUACUUAUUACUUCCAUCUUAACUAUACUGAUUGUAUUAAUGAAAAAAAUUAUUUAAUGUUACAUAAUCAAAAUUAUUUAUCAU